GAAUAAGUAAAUAUUUUUGGUUUAAUAGUUAAAUUAAUUUUAUUAUUUAUAUUCAAUAUUUUUAGGUGAAAUUUUAAUUUUGAUUAUAUUUAUUUUAAUUGAAGCUAUGAAAUUUAUAUUAAAAACAAGGAUUAGAUACCCUUUUUUUUAAAUGUUAAUAUUAACCAGGGUAGUAAUAGUUAUGUUCUUGAAACCCAAAGAAUUUGGCGGUAUUUUAUUCUUUUUAGAGGAACCUGUCCUGUAAUCGAUAUUCCACGAGGAUAUUUACUUGUUUUUGCUUUCAGUUUGUAUACCUCCGUCAUAAGAGUAUCUUUUUAGAGUAAAUAUUCUAUUAAUAUUAAAUAUAAAAUGUCAGGUCAAGGUGCAACUAAUAAAUAAGGAGAGAUGGGUUACAAUAAAUUUAUUUAUACGGAUUGUGAAAUUUAUUCUCAUAUGAAGGUGGAUUUAAAAGUAAAUUUAAUUUCUUAUUAAUUUGAUUUUGGCUCUAAAAUAUGCACACAUCGCCCGUCGCUCUUAUUUUAAGGUAAGAUAAGUCGUAACAUAGUAGGGGUAUCGGAAGAUGUCUCUAGAAAGUUAAU
rnacentral:rRNA from 1 species